AGUGAACGCUGGCGGAAGGCCUAACACAUGCAAGUCGAACGGCAGCACAGUAAGAGCUUGCUCUUACGGGUGGCGAGUGGCGGACGGGUGAGGAAUACAUCGGAAUCUACUUUUUCGUGGGGGAUAACGUAGGGAAACUUACGCUAAUACCGCAUACGACCUACGGGUGAAAGCAGGGGAUCUUCGGACCUUGCGCGAUUGAAUGAGCCGAUGUCGGAUUAGCUAGUUGGCGGGGUAAAGGCCCACCAAGGCGACGAUCCGUAGCUGGUCUGAGAGGAUGAUCAGCCACACUGGAACUGAGACACGGUCCAGACUCCUACGGGAGGCAGCAGUGGGGAAUAUUGGACAAUGGGCGCAAGCCUGAUCCAGCCAUACCGCGUGGGUGAAGAAGGCUUUCGGGUUGUAAAGCCCUUUUGUUGGGAAAGAAAAGCAGCAGGUUAAUACCCCGCUGUUCUGACGGUACCCAAAGAAUAAGCACCGGCUAACUUCGUG
rnacentral:rRNA from 1 species